rnacentral:rRNA from 1 species
UGGGAAUGCAGCCCAAAGCGGGUGGKAAACUCCAUCCAAGGCUAAAUACUAGCACGAGUCCGAUAGCGAAGAAGUACCGCGAGGGAAAGUUGAAAAGAACUUUGAAGAGAGAGUUCAAGAGUACGUGAAACCGCUGAGAGGCAAACUGGUGGAGCUGAAAUGGUCUUGAGGAAUUCAGCCCUUCCUGCUAGAGUUGACGUCGGUUGUGAGAUCUCACGACUCCGCUGGCGGCAUCUUCGUGAAGGAUAGGUGCACUUUCUUCUUGAUCGGACCACGACCAGCGACUUGCUUGCCUGACAUGGGUCGGAAGGUAGCGUUGGCUUCGGCGAACGUGUUAUAGCCGCCUAUUCGGUAGUUGAGCGAGGCGUUGGAUGCGAUGAGUUGGCGCUUGCCCUCUGGGCUCGUACGUUGCCUCUUUCAGGCGUGUCGCCGAUUUCACUGCCUUUGGCAGGGGUGUCGAAGAUGUGUCGGUUAGAAUGGUGGCCUCUGCGAUUGGCGUCGAAAGUCUGUGGUUGUGAAGUAGGCAGUCCACCUGACCCGUCUUGAAACACGGACCAAGGAGUCUAACAUGUGCGCGAGUCAUUGGGCUCUACGAAACCUAAAGGCGAAGUGAAAGUAAAGAUCCAUUUCCAUGGAUUGAGGUGGGAUCCUGAGUCACGUGCUCGGGCGCACUACCGGCCCGUUCGACAUGUCUUCAUGCGGGCGGAGCAAGAGCGUACACGUUGGGACCCGAAAGAUGGUGAACUA